CCUACGGGGGGCUGCAGUGGGGAAUAUUGGACAAUGGGCGAAAGCCUGAUCCAGCCAUGCCGCGUGUGUGAAGAAGGCCUUCGGGUUGUAAAGCACUUUCAGUGGGGAAGAAAGCCUUGGGGCUAAUACCCUCGAGGAAGGACAUCACCCACAGAAGAAGCACCGGCUAACUCCGUGCCAGCAGCCGCGGUAAUACGGAGGGUGCGAGCGUUAAUCGGAAUUACUGGGCGUAAAGCGCGCGUAGGCGGUCUGAUAAGCCGGUUGUGAAAGCCCCGGGCUCAACCUGGGAACGGCAUCCGGAACUGUCAGGCUAAAGUGCAGGAGAGGAAGGUAGAAUUCCCGGUGUAGCGGUGAAAUGCGUAGAGAUCGGGAGGAAUACCAGUGGCGAAGGCGGCCUUCUGGACUGACACUGACGCUGAGGUGCGAAAGCGUGGGUAGCAAACAGGAUUAGAUACCCGUGUAGUC
rnacentral:rRNA from 1 species